rnacentral:rRNA from 1 species
GAUGAACGCUGGCGGCGUGCCUAAUACAUGCAAGUCGAGCGAAUGGAUUAAGAGCUUGCUCUUAUGAAGUUAGCGGCGGACGGGUGAGUAACACGUGGGUAACCUGCCCAUAAGACUGGGAUAACUCCGGGAAACCGGGGCUAAUACCGGAUAACAUUUUGAACCGCAUGGUUCGAAAUUGAAAGGCGGCUUCGGCUGUCACUUAUGGGUGGACGCGCGUCGCAUUAGCUAGUUGGUGAGGUAACGGCUCACCAAGGCAACGAUGCGUAGCCGACCUGAGAGGGUGAUCGGCCACACUGGGACUGAGACACGGCCCAGACUCCUACGGGAGGCAGCAGUAGGGAAUCUUCCGCAAUGGACGAAAGUCUGACGGAGCAACGCCGCGUGAGUGAUGAAGGCUUUCGGGUCGUAAAACUCUGUUGUUAGGGAAGAACAAGUGCUAGUUGAAUAAGCUGGCACCUUGACGGUACCUAACCAGAAAGCCACGGCUAACUACGUGCCAGCCGCCGCGGUAA